GAGUUUGAUCAUGGCUCAGGGUGAACGCUGGCGGCGUGCUUGACACAUGCAAGUCGAACGGUAUGUGGCAACACAUAGAGUGGCGAACGGGUGAGUAACACGUGGGAACGUAUCUUUUGCAGGGGGAUAACUGACCGAAAGGACAGCUAAUACCGCAUAAGUCCGGGAGGAGAAAGGUGCAACAGCAUCGGCAGAAGAGCGGCCCGCGGUCCAUCAGCUAGUUGGUGAGGUAAGGGCUUACCAAGGCGACGACGGAUAGCCGGCGUGAGAGCGUGGCCGGCCACAAGGACACUGAGAUACGGGUCCUACUCCUACGGGAGGCAGCAGUGCGGAAUUUUAGAUAAUGGAGGGAACUCUGAUCUAGCGACGCCGCGUGCAGGAAGAAGGUCUUCGGAUUGUAAACUGCUGUGGUAAGGGAAAAAUGCUAUGUAGAGUGGAAAGCUACAUAGAGGGAUGGUACCUUACUAGAAAGCCCCGGCUAACUACGUGCCAGCAGCCGCGGUAAUACGUAGGGGGCGAGCGUUACCCGGAAUCACUGGGCGUAAAGGGAGCGUAGGUGGCCUAACAUGUCAACUGUGAAAACCCGGAGCUCAACUCCGGACUUGCAGUUGAAACU
rnacentral:rRNA from 1 species